CCCAUAAACUGCUCAGAACUAGCACCAGAGUCCUUACCAAUUUUCUGCUGUUCACCUUGUCUUUGAUCCAGGAAUAUGCCUCUCCUUUGUGCCUUGGCUCUGCUGAUCAUCGUCUCAGCCUUAAGUAAGUGAUCCAUUUCCUCACCAUUGGAAGAGGUCAACUUUGCUUCAUGUCUCUUCAGGUGAUCAAGAUUCUCCAAGUCAGAUAGAUAAGGGAGUCCAUGGAAAGAUUUGUGGAUGAUCUCCAGUAGAUUGCCAAGUAUCUUGACUCCCAAUUAUUUUAAUGAAAGCAGCAACCAAAAUGCCAAACUCCUGGGUUAUGCUUCUGAAAAGAAGAAAGUUAUCCAGGUACGGCAUUUGUCUGUGGAAGUACUGUGAGCUGCCUUCAGUUCUAGUACUCAAAAAUAAAUUCCUAGCCUCAGAAUUCGUUAAGUCUAAGUGUAUGUCUAUGUGCAUCAGGCUCCAAUUAGUUUUCCUCGGGAUUUUACUAUGAAUCAAAGUCGAUCCUAUACACCUGAAAUCUGAUCUCUUCUGUUCUCAGGGAUAUGUUUAAGCUCAAUGUUGCCUGUGAAUCUGUUGUUGUUUUUACUUGUGACAUUUAAAGGCCCUUGGUGUUAUUCUCAUACUAUCCAUGUGCCUUUGUGAAGGGCGUUGCUCAGGGAAGAGUGCACAUAACACUACAUUCUUUUAAAAGGUGUUCACAGAAAGCUAAGAGUCAAAGGAGCAGGAAUGCUUUGUCGUUUCGUCCAUUUAUCCAUCUAACUUUUCUGUCCUUAUCUUUUGUACAGAGGGGAACGCUGGAGAGUCAGUGACCCAAACUGAAGGCACUGUGACCAUAACUGAAGGAGACCGCAUUGCUCUCAACUGCACCUACACAACUUCUUACUUGGCCUUCCCAUUCUGGUACAUUCAGCAACCCAGCCAACCUCCCAGGCUCUUCCUGGAUGAUUUUGGAGGGGGCUCCUCUUCUGCUGAUGAGGUCAAUCUAGGAUUCAAAGCCAAGCAUGAUAAAGAAAAGAAGACUUUCAACACGGUGAAGAUUGCCAGCCAGCUGAGUGACUCUGCUGUUUAUUUUUGUGCUUUUAGCGACACAGUGGG